CUGCUCGGCGCACGCCCACCCCGGACCCCCUGCGCACGCCCGGCCCCUCACACUCGGCUCUCACGUCUCUUGUGCGCGCACAGCUUCACCCACACGUGCCUUGCACACGGGCGGCCCCGGACACGCACGCCAGCCUCCACCCCGCUGCCUGUGCCGCGCGUGUGCCUCGCCGCUGUGUGUCUGUCCCACACACCGCUCCCGUGUGUCGCAGGCAUACCUGCGGGGGUGAGCAGACCCCCCCCCCAGCCACACACCAUGAAUGCCUGCACAGGCCAAUAGCUUCCUCGUUGGGGGACCCCGGCCCCCUACACCCUCGUGGGCACCCGGCUUCAUGACCUCCUAACCCCUGUGCUGGCCCAGGCAAGCCCCCAGAGGCCUUGUCCCUUGUGGGGGAGCCUGGGUGGCUCCCGGGAGCACAGGCUGGGGAGACUGGCCCUGCCAGCCUCCCCCUCCUCUUCACGCCCACCCCCACACACCGCCUCCCUGUGUCCUCUCCUCCUGCGCGCUCUCCAGGCAGGGGUGCCCUCUUGCCCUUUGCUGUCACAGGGUCCCAUUCCCCCUCAGUGUGUGCCCACCACUUGGGCUGGUCCAGAGCUGGCCUGAGCCAGCAGGUGUCACCGUGACCGGCUAGAAAUGGAAAAACGGAAAGACCAUUUGGGUGCUGGCCGUCACCCGAGCCCCGCGGAUGAAGGGGCAGGCACCCCCCCUCCCCGCCCCCCGGGAGGAAGGGAGGGCCUGGGAACUACUGCUCCAUCUCUUGCUCCCCGCUCCCCCUCCACCACCGGGUCCAGAGCCUUGGGAAGGGCAGUGGGCAGGGCGUGGAUGGAGUCAGAGGCUCUUACUCGGGAGGCGCGGAGUUGCCAGCCCCAGCCGAGCCUGGCCCUGCCUGUUUGGUUUGGCUCUCAGCACGGCCUCACGGGAGAGGACGGUCUGUCUGGAGGCUGCACGUGGCCGGCUGCGGGGCAUGGCGCGACUCGGGGAGCCCGUGGGAGCCUGGCUGGCCC
rnacentral:lncRNA from 1 species